GCAAGGGAUUUUCCGCAAUGGGGGCAACCCUGACGGAGCGACGCCGCGUGCGGGAUGACGUCCUUCGGGAUGUAAACCGCUUUUCGAGGGGAAGAGGAAGGCCGGUACCCUCGGAAGAAGCCCCGGCUAACUACGUGCCAGCAGCCGCGGUAAUACGUAGGGGGCGAGCGUUGUCCGGAGUUACUGGGCGUAAAGCGCGCGCAGGCGGUCUGGUUAGUCGGUCGUGAAAGACCCCGGCUCAACUGGGGCAGGUCGAUCGAGACAGCCAGACUGGAGGGGGUUAGAGGGACGUGGAAUUCUGGGUGGAGCAGUGAAAUGCGUAGAGACCCAGAGGAACACCGGUGGCGAAGGCGGCGUCCUGGGGCCCAUCUGACGCUGAGGCGCGAAGGCCAGGGGAGCGAACGGGAUUAGAUACCCUUGUAGUCC
rnacentral:rRNA from 1 species